UCUGAAUUUUCACUUGCCUAUAAGUUAGCACAAAGGCAUGGGCUGCUGAGCUGAUACGAAACUUUUUUAUUUUUUUAUUUGGUUACAUGUCGGAUAAGAGAAAAAAAUCAAGACGUCCGGGGUCUCACUCGAGUGGACUGAGAUGUUGAUGCAUCUAUCGGGAAAACAAACAGAAACGCGGGAAAAGGUGAACGACGGUACGUUCUCUUAUUUUUUUUUAUAAUCGCUCGGUUUUUAUAUUACAUGUCUCUUUUAAUUCGCACGUACUCUUGGAGAUUGGAGUUGAACUUUUGUUUUGUUGCCCGGCUGCCAUGAAUAACCGAGAGAAAAACAAAAACACAAAGAAAUCUCGAAACCGCCGGUUGACGGGGUACGCACCUUGUCCCGAACGAAAGUCGUGCGUGUGCACACAUCACCAGUUCAUCACGAUGCCAAUUUGAUGUUUGUUUUUUUGUUCUGACGGUCGAUCGUUUUAAUCCACGGCCUGAUAAACUGAACAGACGUCCUUAAACACCUUCUACAUUUUAUCCUUUUUUCCUUGUUAUAUGUGACAUCAUUCUCCCACGACGACGACGGGUUUCACCAUGGCGACGGUGGCAAUUGUCCGCCAGCACGGCCUCGGUGACCCAACAAAUGAAGAGAAAAACUUGAUCAUCACAGCGCACAGUUUGUGUGCGGUGAUGGGACUCGGACCGCUUUUUUCUUUUGUGGCCGCGGCCAGCAAAGUUUCACAUCGAAACAACUGGCCGAGAGUUGUUGGUUGGUUAUAUGUCUCCCACAGAAAAACUGCUGGGGGUUCCUAUUAUUCUCCUGUAUAGAAGAAAAGAAAAGGAAUCCCGUGUUGUGGUUUUCAUCACUCAAUAGAUAUUCUUCUUUACAUGUAAGGAGCGCCCCUCGUCUAUCUGUUCCUUUUUUAUUAUUCAAUGUGGCAUGUGUAAUAGAGGGCCGGCCCUAUUAUACUUAUUCCUCCCACCCGUUUCAUUUCAAUUUGUUGAAUAAAAUAUAAUACAGCCCAACAAAUUCACUAUAGCCCCCCCUUUUUUUUUAUCGUAUGACGUUUUAUCAAAUCAGUCGAGGUGCACCAUUGAAAAUCCCAUCGGACACCGUACACCAUCUCCUUACAAUUUUUCAUUAUUUUAUUUUUUUCUUUAAACUGAACUUGAAUACAUCAACAACGGCGUC